rnacentral:rRNA from 1 species
GACGAACGCUGGCGGCGUGCCUAAUACAUGCAAGUCGAACGCUGAAGGAGGAGCUUGCUCUUCUGGAUGAGUUGCGAACGGGUGAGUAACGCGUAGGUAACCUGCCUGGUAGCGGGGGAUAACUAUUGGAAACGAAAGCUAAUACCGCAUAACAGUAGAUGUUGCAUGACAUUUACUUAAAAGGUGCAAUUGCAUCACUACCAGAUGGACCUGCGUUGUAUUAGCUAGUUGGUGGGGUAACGGCUCACCAAGGCGACGAUACAUAGCCGACCUGAGAGGGUGAGCGGCCACACUGGGACUGAGACACGGCCCAGACUCCUACGGGAGGCAGCAGUAGGGAAUCGUCGGCAAUGGACGGAAGUCUGACCGAGCAACGCCGCGUGAGGGAAGAAGGUUGUCGGAUCGUAAAGCUCGGUUGUAAGAGAAGAACGAGUGUGAGAGUGGAAAGUUCACACUGUGACGGUAUCUUACCAGAAAGGGACGGCUAACUACGUG